rnacentral:rRNA from 1 species
AUUGAACGCUGGCGGCAGGCCUAACACAUGCAAGUCGAACGGCAGCACAGAAGAGCUUGCUCUUUGGGUGGCGAGUGGCGGACGGGUGAGUAAUGUCUGGGAAACUGCCCGAUGGAGGGGGAUAACUACUGGAAACGGUAGCUAAUACCGCAUAACGUCGCAAGACCAAAGUGGGGGACCUUCGGGCCUCACACCAUCGGAUGUGCCCAGAUGGGAUUAGCUAGUAGGUGGGGUAAUGGCUCACCUAGGCGACGAUCCCUAGCUGGUCUGAGAGGAUGACCAGCCACACUGGAACUGAGACACGGUCCAGACUCCUACGGGAGGCAGCAGUGGGGAAUAUUGCACAAUGGGCGCAAGCCUGAUGCAGCCAUGCCGCGUGUAUGAAGAAGGCCUUCGGGUUGUAAAGUACUUUCAGCGGGGAGGAAGGCGGUGAGGUUAAUAACCUUGCCGAUUGACGUUACCCGCAGAAGAAGCACCGGCUAACUCCGUGCCAGCCGCCGCCGUAA